rnacentral:lncRNA from 1 species
CCAGAAUAAAGGCCUUUCAUAUUCUUCCACACAAUAUUCAAAACCGUCCCCAGUGUCUACUGUUGCCAUCUUUUCAUCCGUAAGUACUCAAUGUUUAGCUCUCACUUGUAAGAACGUGUUGUUUGGUUUUCUGUUCCUGCAUUCAUUUGCUUAGGAUAAUGGCCUUCAACUGCAUACACGCAAAGAACAUGAUUUCAUUCUUUUGUAUGGCUGUAUAGUAUUCCAUAGUGUAUAUGUACUGCAUUUUCCUCAUGUAAUCUAAUCUCUAUUUAAUUAAUCAUUGAUAGGUACCUGGGUUGAUUCCACGUCUUUGCUAUUGUGAAUAGUCUUGCAAUGAAGAUAUUAGUGUAUGUGUCUUUUUGGUAGAAUAAUUUAUUUUCAUUUGGAUAUAUACACAUUAAUGGGAUUACUGGAUUGAAUGGUAGUUCUGUUUUAAUUUCCUUGAGAAAUCUCCAAACUGCUUUAUACAGUGACUGAACUAAUUAACAUUCCUACCAACAGUGUAUAAGUGUUCCCUUUUCUCCACAGUUGUGCCAGCAUCUGUUGUUUUAACUUUCUUUAUUAGAAAUAAAUAAUGGUCAUUUUUACUGAUGUGAUAUCCCACUGGGUUUUGAUUUACAUUUCUCUCAUGAUUAGUGACGUUGAACAUUUUUUCAAGUUUGUUGGCUUCUUUUGAGAAGUAUCUGUUCAUGUAUUUUGCUGAUUUUUUAAUGGGGUUAUUUGUUUUUGGUCUGGUGUCCAGGCUGGAGUGCACUGACAUGAUCUUGGCUCACCUCAACCUCGACCUCCCAGGUUCAAGUGAUUUUCCCACCUCAGCCUCCUGAGCAGCUGGGACAACGAUCAGAUGGAUGUAGGUGUGCAGCUUCCUUUCUGAGUUCUCUAUUCUGUUUCAUUGGUCUAUGUGUCUGUUUUUGUGCCAAUACCAGGUGUUUUGUUUACUGUAGCCUUAUAGUAUAGCUUGAAGUUGUGUCAUGUGAGGCUUCUGGCUUUGUUCUUUUUGCUUAGGACUGCUUUGGCUAUGUGGGCUCUUUUUUGGCUCCAUAUUAAUUUAGAAUAGUGUUUUCUAGUUCUGUGAAAAAUGCUAUUGAUAGCUUGAUAGGAAUAUGGUUGAAUUUGUAGAUUGUUUUGGGCAGUAUGGUCAUUUUAACAAUAUUGAUUCUUCAAUCCUUGAGCACAGAAUGUUUUUCCAUUUGUGUCACCUAUUAUUUCUUUAAGCAGUGUUUUAUAGUUCUCUUUGUAUAGGUCUUUCACCUCUCUGACAGAGAGUGACUUAGACAAUUUUGGCUGCUAUAACAAAGUCUACUUAGUUAGAAACAACUUUACAUACAUAAAAUAUCUAUUCUUCAAUGGUUCCUGUACAUGGUUCCAAAACAUACCCCAGGAUUAAAAUGAAUUUUUCUCACAUACAUGCCAGUGUUUUUUCAAACCACUUUAUGACAUCCUACUACUUUUUUCUUUUGCCACAGCAGUUCAGUUUGAGAGGUUCUGUGAGAUGUCUUUGAUAUGGAAGAGUUACUAAAAAAGGAAACUUAGAGCUUAGAGAAACAGGAAAUUUUGCUUCUAAACAUUUAAGUAUAGAAAUAAACACAGCUAUACAUUGGUGAAGACAACAUACUGUUAGUAUCACAAUGAGAUGUGGCAUUUGGAUUAAGUUGAAAGGAAAGUAUUUCUAAUUAUACAACUGAAUUACAGAUGACAAUUUGAACUGCUUAAUGUAGUUUAUAGAUUAAAAAGUUCAUAGUGACAUUUUCCUUUUUCUUCUAGCCACCCUUUGAUAACCCCUUUAAUGGAAUGUUGUGAGCCACAGGUUCAAAAGUAGUGAACGCUUAGGAGGCUUAACUUAUCCUAAUGACCUUUCAAUGCAAAGCAAAAGGUCAACAGUUAGUGUUACAUUGAGGCUGACAAAGAAUGUUGCCUAAACCUGAAUGACAAAAGCUUGCUACUGGAGGUCACCUCUUAAUUGACUUUCCUGACAUUAAUGCUUGUUGUAAACCAGGAAACUCAUUUUGAAGUUGCAGUCCUUUCUUCAAAGUCUUGCUUAUUAUAGAUAACAUAUUUGUCAUAUCGGUCACUGUUUACUCAGCCUUAUGAAUGUUUUAUAGAAACCAUCAAAUGUUGCUCAUUCUUUCACAAGUCACAUAUUAAGUACAAUUUCUUUAAACUCAAUUGGGGUUUCAAGCUUUGUCUGUAAUAUGUACACGCAUCUAAUGAACUUUAGGUCUUUGGCAUUCCUGGACAUGUCUAUUGUGUUAAUACCCUUGGUGUGUUCAUCAUUUACAGAAGGCAAGGUGGAAUGCAGACUGGACUGAGCAGACCAGUGUUACAGUGCCCACACUAACAUACCUUAUUUUUUAACUUGGCAUUGUUUAGAUGCUACUCUUAAAUUCAGGAGAUGCCUAAAAGUUUAUAUGCGAGCCUAGUAGACAAGAGUCCUGUUUCUCAAACUUUCUAGGUCUCAUUGUUCUAAUUUAUAAAUUUAGAAUUUUUGUAAGUGAUCUAUAACUCUAGUUAUACUGAUAUUGUAUUUCAAACAUGUUUGUUCUCUGUUACCUUUAGCUGAAAUAGAACAAUGUGAAUAUUCCAUAGCCUCUGAUUAUUCAUAUUUUGUUGAAUAUCUGUUCUCUACCACUCCUCCAAAUUUGGCAAACAUGUCUUUAAAGUACUUGAGACAAUCCAAAGCAUAUUCAUCAGUCUUUUCCUCCUAGAUGUCUGUCCCUUAUUCCUUAUAGAGGAAAUAUGAUCUCAUAACCUCAAGUUUAAAGAACCAUACAAUAUUAAGCUAGAAGAGACUUUAAAAAGUCAUAUACUCCAGCAGUGCUAUUCAUUGGCCACUCAAAUCUGUUCCACUCUUCCCAAGAGGUCUGCUAGACCUGCAUUGUACAAUAUGAAAACCAUCAUUUAAAUUUAAAUUUAAAUUAAUAAAAAUUAGGUAAAAUUAAACUUUACUUCUUCAGUUGUACUAGCCACAUUUCAAGUGCUCAUAAGCUACAUGUGGCUAUCAGAGUCCAUAUUGCACAGCACAGAAAUAAAUUACUUCCACCAUCACAGAACGUUCUAUUAGACAGUGAUGAUGUAAACUAAGCUUUAAUACUUUCAUUACAUUAAGCCCACCACCUCCCAGGUACUUUGAUACUUUUACAAUACUAUUUUGUUAAAAUUUUUUUUCCAUAUUUGUAAUCAAACUCUUGAAAUAUCUAUCCAUUUAUUCUUAAUUUUAUUUUUUAAAAUUAGCCUUCUAGUCACGCGCUCUUCUGCAUUUCUAUCCUUUCAGAUAUUUAAAGAAAAUUGUCAUGUGCCUCAUUUUCUCUUUUUUGUGUCCUCCUAUAUAGCUAUCUCCUGUAUUUUAGGUGUAUGAUAGAAUUUGCCCUGGAAACAUUAUUUUAAAAUCACAAAGUUUUAGUUGCAUUCUUAGUCACAAAUUGACAAACUUAAGUCACAGAUAUGUAAAUACAUAAACAUUUACAUAAAAAGAAAUAAUAACUUUUCCUCCUAAUCCUCCCACCCAUCCCCAGUGCCAGGCAUAGAGUAAGCAAUCAGUAAAUCCUAGCUGAAUUAAUGCAUGAAUAAACUUCACCAUGUUGCUCUUAAUAUAUUAAUGCUUGUUCUUGAUGUGUUAUCUUCUCCAUGUAGUAAAUUAAAAACUCUUAUUAUAAAAAUAAUAUUCAUCCUAGAUAACCUGGUAUAUACAUAAGAAAAAAAGAUCAAAAUACUACCAUUUGAAUGGGCAGUCAAAUCUGUCACUUAGACAUGACUAAUAU